GGUUAAUACCUCCCUGAGCUGGGAUCAGGGCUUACCGCGAAGCUGCUUAAAAAAAAAAAAAAAAAAACGGUAACACCAGCUAACAUAUGGAGAUGUCAUCCUGGUUAAACAAAUUACAGUCGAAGACGGCGUGAUAAUAACUGAACAAUCACCGCAGCUAGAAGGAGCGGCCUCUAACCCGCCAGGGCCCCCGCUCACCCUCUUAGGAGCCGGCGCCGGCACCCGCGGCCGCCUCCGCAGCCUCCGUUGCGGUCCGCCAGCUUCCGCACCGCCCCGCCUCGCCGCCACGACCUCCACCCUCACUUUGUCCAGGAAAUCCGACUUCGCCGCCCUGGAACCCGGGGACCCACAUUCGGCUCUGCCUCCCGCAGCCUGCUCUCCUCCGGCCGUCCCAGACCCAGGGCUGCUCCGCCGAGUUUACUCGCGGGCCGUUACUUCUCCGUGAGACCAAGCCGGCCAAAAAUAGGGGAGGUGGAAGCAGCUCGCCUGCGGGAUCGAUGGGGCCCUCGCCGUUUCAGCUGAGCUGUCUUAUUAAUUAUGAAAGGGCUCGCCCGAUCCCUGCCAGGGACCACGCCUCUGGCCCCUCCGCUGGAGCCCUUAAUGGUGGUUCCUCUGAGAGCUGCCUCCGGCCACCGCAGAGGAAGCGGCGAGUCGCGAGCAGGGCUCGGCCGGCAGGCCGGGGCUCGGGCUUCCGACCCGCGUGGGUCCGCGUGUGCAUUCUCAGAGGCGCGCAAGGCCAGCGCCCCCAAACCUCCCCUAGGAAGGACCCCUGCCUUUUGGCUUACAGAAGUAAAAUAUAGCUUCCCCUUUCUCUUAAGCAAACACGAUUUCAGGGAAGUGGCAAGAUGUUCUGGUAACCCACGGCUUGAGGACGGUAGGUUAACAGAUGGCUGGUGAGCUGGUGAAUUUACCACCUGGCAUCCUGUGUUCCUUCAGGGAACCCCAAGAGAACUCGCCAAGAAAGUAGGCUUGGGGCAGGAAACAGAGGACACCCCUAUUC
ensembl:lncRNA